AGAGUUUGAUUAUGGCUCAGGAUGAACGCUGGCGGCGUGCUUAAUACAUGCAAGUCGAACGGAAAUAAUUAGGAGCUUGCUUUUGAUUAUUUAGUGGCGGACGGGUGAGUAACGCGUGGGUAACCUGCCUCAUACAGGGGGAUAACAGUUAGAAAUGACUGCUAACACCGCAUAACAUAGUGCAACCGCAUGAUUGUGCUAUCAAAUAUUUAUAGGUAUGAGAUGGGCCCGCGUCUGAUUAGCUAGUUGGUGAGGUAAAAGCCCACCAAGGCGACGAUCAGUAGCCGUACUGAGAGGUAGAACGGCCACAUUGGGACUGAGACACGGCCCAAACUCCUACGGGAGGCAGCAGUAGGGAAUAUUGGACAAUGGGGGCAACCCUGAUCCAAGCGACGCCGCGUGAGUGAAGAAGUUAUUCGUAAUGUAAAGCUCUAUCAGCAGGGACGAUAAUGACGGUACCUGACUAAGAAGCACCGGCUAAAUACGUGCCAGCCGCCGC
rnacentral:rRNA from 1 species